GAUGAACGCUGGCGGCGUGCCUAAUACAUGCAAGUCGAGCGAACAGACGAGGAGCUUGCUCCUCUGACGUUAGCGGCGGACGUGUGAGUAACACGUGGAUAACCUACCUAUAAGACUGGGAUAACUUCGGGAAACCGGAGCUAAUACCGGAUAACAUGUUGAACCGCAUGGUUCAACAGUGAUAUACGGUUUUUCUGUCACUUCUAGAUGUAUCCGCGUCGCAUUAGCUAGUUGGUAAGGUAACGGCUUACCAAGGCAACGAUGCGUAGCCGACCUGAGAGGGUGAUCGGCCACACUGGAACGGAGACACGGUCAAGACUCCUACGGGAGGAAGCAGUAGGGAAUCUUCCGCAAUGGGCGAAAGCCUGACGGAGCAACGCCGCGUGAGUGAAGAAGGUCUUCGGAUCGUAAAACUCUGUUAUUAGGGAAGAACAAAUGUGUAAGUAACUAUGCACGUCUUGACGGUACCUAAUCAGAAAGCCACGGCUAACUACGUG
rnacentral:rRNA from 1 species